UACGUAGGGGGCAAGCGUUGUCCGGAAUCAUUGGGCGUAAAGCGCGUGUAGGCGGCUCGGUAAGUCUGCUGUGAAAGUCCAGGGCUCAACCCUGGGAUGCCGGUGGAUACUGUCGAGCUCGAGUCCGGAAGAGGCGAGUGGAAUUCCUGGUGUAGCGGUGAAAUGCGCAGAUAUCAGGAGGAACACCAGUGGCGAAGGCAGGCUCGCUGGGACGUGAACUGACGCUGAGACGACGAACUGGGGAGCGAACAGG
rnacentral:rRNA from 1 species